CCUAGUUGUCAUAGUGAUGCUUACAUCACAAAGGCUGUUGGCUCACCUCUUUCUUGGGUUCUGGACCUGGCGGCUUGAGUGGCUCCAGACACUUCCAUGAUAGGAGCUGCUCAGCGCAUGAGAGAAAGAAAGCUUGUUUAAGCCAACUUUGAACAAUGGAAGUCAUCGACCUGAAACUACCCAGCAGAGGUUUUUCCACCAGUGAAGCCUCUGCAGAGAGAUGCCUGAUGGACCAAGCUCAGGGCAAUCUUGGCCAGGGUUUGGCUAGGCAGACAUGAAGCCUGACAUUACUGUGAGCCUUCUGCUGGAGAAACUCCAACAGGAGGAGGGGACAAAAGUAACCAUUUACUCCAGCCUGAAGAAAGUCUUGCAGGGGGACACACAGGGCCUGGAUAGGAGCCCUGUCAGGAGGAUCAUCCACUUGGCCUCCAAAGACAUGAGGGAGACCCACAGUCUGAGCCAGAUCUUGGAGGUGGCCUAUGAUUUUCAGGUCCCUCUCCCCAGUGGGAAACUCAAAAGCAUCUGCUUUGCCCUGCACACCUAGGUAAAGGGAGGUCACUCCUGUGCUACUCGUCUUAAGGCCCAGGAGGUCCAAGUCCCAUUAGCCAGACAGACCCAGUUUGUGGCGGUGCAAAGCCCCACUCUGCUGGCAACCUCUCUGCUUGCCCAAGAAGAAAAAAACAGGUGGUGGUCUCCUUGUCUCCCCUCAGUUCAUCUCAACUGCUGGGGAGGUCCAUGCA